UACGGGGGGGGCAAGCGUUGUUCGGAAUUACUGGGCGUAAAGGGCUCGUAGGUGGCCAACUAAGUCAGACGUGAAAUCCCUCAGCUUAACUGGGGAACUGCGUCUGAUACUGGAUGGCUUGAGUUUGGGAGAGGGAUGCGGAAUUCCAGGUGUAGCGGUGAAAUGCGUAGAUAUGCGGAGGAACACCGAUGGCGAAGGCAAUCCCCUGGACCUGUACUGACGCUCAUGCACGAAAGCGUGGGGAGCAAACAGG
rnacentral:rRNA from 1 species